ACGGAAGGCAGCAGUGGGGGAUAUUGCACAAUGGAGGAAACUCUGAUGCAGCAACGCCGCGUGAGGGAAGAAGGUUUUCGGAUUGUAAACCUCUGUUUUUAGUGAAGAAACAAAUGACGGUAGCUAAAGAGGAAGCCACGGCUAACUACGUGCCAGCAGCCGCGGUAAUACGUAGGUUGCAAGCGUUGUCCGGAUUUACUGGGUGUAAAGGGCGUGUAGGCGGAGCUGCAAGUCAGAUGUGAAAUCCCGGGGCUCAACCCCGGAACUGCAUUUGAAACUGUAGCCCUUGAGUAUCGGAGAGGCAAGCGGAAUUCCUAGUGUAGCGGUGAAAUGCGUAGAUAUUAGGAGGAACACCAGUGGCGAAGGCGGCUUGCUGGACGACAACUGACGCUGAGGCGCGAAAGCGUGGGGAGCAAACAGGAUUAGAUACCCUGGUA
rnacentral:rRNA from 1 species